UGAUGUGCAUUUUUGUUCAUUUACAGCUGC
rnacentral:piRNA from 1 species